ACAAGCAGCGAGGUAUGUGGUUUAAUUCGACGCUACGCGAAGAACCUUACCUGGGCUUUGACAUGCUUGAGAAAGGACCAAGAAACUGGUCCCCCCAUGACCGCAAGGUCAUGGCUCAUCCACAGGUGCUGCAUGGUUGUCGUCAGCUCGUGUCGUGAGAUGUAAGGUUAAGUCCUUGAACGAGCGCAACCCCUUUCGUCAGUUGCAAACCAGCAAUGGCGCACCCUGACGAUACUGCCAGCUAAAAGUUGGAGGAAGGAGGGGAUGACGUCAAAUCCUCAUGGCCUUUAUGUCCAGGGCUACACACAUGCGACAAUGGUCGGUACAACGGGUUGCAACACCGCGAGGUGAAGCCAAUCCCUAAAAACCGACCUCAGUUCAGAUUGCAGACUGCAAUUCGUCUACAUGAAGAUGGAGUUGCUAGUAACCGCGGGUCAGCUACACCGCGGUGAAUAUGUUCCCGGGCCUU
rnacentral:rRNA from 1 species